UGUAAAGCCCCUUCGACGAGUCGAGUUGUUUGGGAAUGCAGCUCUAAAUGGGAGGUAAAUUUCUUCUAAAGCUAAAUACUGGCCAGAGACCGAUAGCGCACAAGUAGAGUGAUCGAAAGAUGAAAAGCACUUUGGAAAGAGAGUCAAAUAGCACGUGAAAUUGUUGAAAGGGAAGCGCUUGCAGCCAGACUUGCCUGUAGUUGCUCAUCCGGGCUCUUGCCCGGUGCACUCUUCUACAGGCAGGCCAGCAUCAGUUUGGGCGGUUGGAUAAAGGUCUCUGUCACGUACCUCCCUUCGGGGAGGCCUUAUAGGGGAGACGACAUGCAACCAGCCUGGACUGAGGUCCGCGCAUUUGCUAGGAUGCUGGCGUAAUGGCUGUAAGCGGCCCGUCUUGAAACACGGACCAAGGAGUCUAACAUCUAUGCGAGUGUUUGGGUGUCAAGCCCGAGCGCGUAAUGAAAGUGAACGGAGGUGGGAACCCUUAAGGGUGCACCAUCGACCGAUCCUGAUGUCUUCGGAUGGAUUUGAGUAAGAGCAUGGCUGUUGGGACCCGAAAGAUGGUGAACUAUGCUUGAAUAGGGUGAAGCCAGAGGAAACUCUGGUGGAGGCUCGCAGCGGUUCUGACGUGCAAAUCGAUCGUCAAAUUUGGGCAUAGGGGCGAAAGACUA
rnacentral:rRNA from 1 species